rnacentral:rRNA from 1 species
AGGACGAACGCUGGCGGCGUGCUUAACACAUGCAAGUCGAACGGAAAGGCCCGCUUGCGGGUACUCGAGUGGCGAACGGGUGAGUAACACGUGGGCAACCUGCCCUCAGCUUCGGGAUAACAUUUGGAAACAGGUGCUAAUACCGGAUAAUAACCUUUCAUCGCAUGGUGUGGGGUUCAAAGUUUUUCGGCUGGGGAUGGGCCCGCGGCCUAUCAGCUUGUUGGUGGGGUAAUGGCCUACCAAGGCGACGACGGGUAGCCGGCCUGAGAGGGCGACCGGCCACACUGGGACUGAGACACGGCCCAGACUCCUACGGGAGGCAGCAGUGGGGAAUAUUGCGCAAUGGGCGGAAGCCUGACGCAGCGACGCCGCGUGAGGGAUGACGGCCUUCGGGUUGUAAACCUCUUCAGCUCUGACGAAGCGCAAGUGACGGUAGGAGCAGAAGAAGCACCGGCCAACUACGCGCCAGCAGCCGC